GACUGCAUGGGAUUGGAGAAGAGGGGCCCAUUAAGAGAAAAGCCUCAGAGAUCGGCCUCAGUUUACUCCCUCCCUAAGGGCCCUUCAGCAUCUUCCACCCACGCCCUGUCAGCCUCCUAUCCUUCCCUCUGGCUCCAGGAGAUCAAAGUCCUCCAAAAAUGCAGCUGCUUCAGUGACAAGAGGGAAUUAUCUUCAGACUCAGGAGGAAUAUGGGGUUUAUUUCAAGUCCAUGGAGUGGCACAGUCUGAUUGAGAGGUGAUGGAACUGACACUCGGAGAGGUAGAGUAGCUUUAUUUACUUCACACAAGCUGUGGAUGAAUUUCAAAUCUCAACCUAGAAGGCUUCCUCUAAGAUUCGUGCUGUGCACUAACAUGCAAUACAAAUACUGAUGAAAAUAAAACUAUUGCCCUCCUACCAAAUGGCCAGUUCUUGGAGAGACCAGGAAGCCAAGAGUUUCCUCCAAGAAUGGGGAUACCUUGGAAGAGAGAUUCAUUUUGAGUCAAGAAAGACGAAUCACAUGCAGUCAUAGGCAAUUGCCCAGGGUCUCAAAAACAGGGCCAGAAAGAAGAGCUGGAGCUGGUGGGAUUGUGGGGGUCCUCUCUCCCACCUGAAAAGCUACUGCUGCCUGCUGACCCUCUCAGGAAGAGACCUCUCUGGUCUCCAGCACCUAAAACAGACAAAAUUGGGAGGAUGCUUCUCUCCUCUGUGUCACACAUGUCCUAGAGAAAAUCUGUGUAUCUGAAUGACCAAAGAAAACUAUGAGAAAAAAUGCAAAAUCUGUGCCAGGCCAUUCAGUGUCUAGUUGGGGCUCUGGGGUGUAUGUACAUUUGAAGAAAACUGAAGGGUGCUAAGCCUGCAGGAAAUGUCCCUCAGACCUGCCUGUCACACCUGGAGUAUGACUGCCCAUCCAGGUUCAUGAUGCAGAACUGUCUUUAAAAGGCCACUGUAGAUAUGGAGUGAUAGAACAUGAUAGAACAUGUUCAUCUAACACUGAUAGAACAUGACCAGCUCUCCCGCUGGGGAAAGCCACAUCCACUAGUGACAUGCUGCUUAAACUGGCCCAGACCACACUCUACUACCUAAGGAAUAAACCCCACAUUUGCUCUUUUUGGGUGAAGGCAGAAGGUGAGACAGGAGAGGAGUGUCCACACAGACAUGAGAAGCCUGCAGAUCCAGAUGACCCCCUUGCUGAUCAGCACAUUAAAGAUCGACGUAUGGAAACAAUGACCCUGUAGCAGAUCAGCUUCUACAGCAGGCUUCAACGAUGCGUCACCUGGACCCACUGGCAGAGAAGUCUGCCCCCACUCUAUGUUGAUGAUCUGGGGGAUAAAAUUACUGAGACAGAUAUAAGAAAUGAUCUCUAUCUGUUGGCGAGAUCCGGACAGUCACUGUUAUGCAGAGACAGAAGUGUGCUCUCAUCAGCUUUCCACAGGGCAGGCUGUGGAAAUGUACAUUGUACAUUGAUUGUCCAUGGCUACAGACUCACCGUCAAAUGGGGGAAGAUUCCAAGCCUUCAAGGAAACCCUGAAGAGCGGUCACAGGGGACCCUCAUUCACUGCUGUGCCUUCUCGCUGUUCCUAGAUUUAUUCCAGUUGUUAAGCAUUCGUGGCCAUUUAUCUGUGCAUCUGAUGCCGUGAUGUUUUUGCUGUAGGUAACUGAUGGAGUGAGUUGAGCUGCCAGGCUUCCUGGAGUGAUUCUUGGAUGCUGGGUCAUGUGCUUAGGGGCCCUGAUGGGACUGAACUAGAAGGAGCCAGAAUAGGACAGAACCCAACCCCUGAUGAGUGGCCACUGGUGGCCUGGCCUCAGGACCACAGGACACACUGUUCCCAGGGCACAGACACCCUGGGCUUUUGUUGGGUCUUGGCCUCCAGGUAGGGCCUGGUGGGCAGCGGGCAGCGACUCCUGAGACACUACUUUGAUUCUCAGUGGUGGCUGUGGUAAAAGACCUGCAGAGCUAGAGUUUAGUGUGAGAUUCAGGAGGAACUGUGGCCUCUCCCAGUGACAGUGCGUCACUCCCAUUCCCAGCACGCAUGCGCACAGGCCACGGCCUCCGCAUCACACACCCCCCACCAAGUCACCCAUCCAUGGGACAGCUCCCAUGCAGCAGGGUCAGGCUCUUACCUCCACCUCCAGGGCACAGACAGGGGCAGCUCUGUCUCACUGUAAGGCAAUGAGGAGAGCUGAGGACCUGGACAAGGCUGUGGGCCAUCCCCUUUCCCGAGCAGGCCUCAGGGAAGGACCAGUCCCAUCCCCAUCCAACCCAGGUCUCAGCCCAGGAGGCUGCAUAGGGAAGAAAGGACAGCCAGGGCCUCCAUGCUGGCUGACACUCAGGAGGGGCCGGGGCAAGAGAGCAGAGGGAGUGCAAGGCCAGGCAGGGGCUGCUGAGGAUCCAUGGGGGCUCAGGCUGCACAGUGAGGCUGCCCCUCCUGGGUUGCAGGCAGCAUCCCCUAUGGGAGCUGAGAAAGUCCAGUCCUGAGAUGGGACAGGGCUGCCCAGGGGUGUGUGGCUGGGCCCUGACAGCAGUCUCCCAAAAAGUGACCACAUCACCAGGCUGAGUUCCAGGAAGCCUGAGAAGUGUCCAGUACACCAAGGAUGCACCUGGAGCCCAUUCUGUCUAAUAGACUCUGACCAUCUUGCAUCCACCUGCCUCUCCUGCAUAUCAGCCACCACCCCUUCCCUUUUCCUCAUUUCUCCAUCGUGUGUAACCCAGAGACUGUGACCCUCUCUCCAGCCACAGUGGCCCUUCUUUUAGCCUUGUCCUGUCAGAGACCCUGAGCAAGACUCCCCAGACCCAUCCACAGGCCUGCCUUGUCCACUUACUAAUUGCUGUGCUGUGCACUGCUGGGGUGGCACGACAGGCAGUGAGGGUAACUGAAGGCCCCACAGGUGGCCAGCUUGGCCCUUUACCGCAUCGCUAGCCUCAGAGGGUUCUCAGGGUUGUCAACCAGCAGCCCUGGCUUGGGACACCUGGCUGUCCUCCUCCCACGGUUCUUUUCUGACUCUUCUGAUUCAGCCUCUCCCGCCUGUCCUUUGUCCGUGGUGAUGACCAAGCCAGCAGGGAGCAGGUCCCCAGAGGGUGCUGCUGAGCUUUGGAGACCGACCUAGGCUCCUUUGCUGAGGGGUCCGAGGAGUUUUACAGUUUCUGGUUAAAUAACAAUGGGAUAUCACCUCCCGUCUGUUAGGAUGGCUGCCAUAAAAAGGACAAAAGAUAACAAGUGUUGGUGAUGGUGUGGAGAGAAGGAAACCCUUGUAUGCUGCUGGUUAGAAUAAAGAAAAUUUUAAAACAGAAUCAAAAUAAUGGAAAUCAGUUAUCUGUCCUCUUACAGGGCAGGGAGAAAACCUCCUUCCCCGCAAGUUCAAGACUAUGGUUAGGUGGUGAGGAAGGCGGGCUCAGCACCCAAGCCUUGCGGAGACACAAAAAGGGCCCAUCCCAGGCACUCAGCUGGAGGUGGUCUGUCCUAGAGAAUGUUCCAUGUGAAUUUGCGAAGAAUACAUAUUCUCAUGUUGGAUGCAGUGCUGCGUAUAUGUUUGUUAGGUUUAGUUGUUUUAUAAUGUUCAUGUUUUCUAUUUUUUAUCUUCUGUCUACUUGUUCUAUCCAUUAAUGUAAGUGGGGCAUUAAAGUCUCCAACUAUUGUUGUUGAACUAUC